UACGUAGGGGGCAAGCGUUGUCCGGAUUUAUUGGGCGUAAAGAGCGUGUAGGCGGCUUUGCAAGUCCGUUGUGAAAACUCGAGGCUCAACCUCGAGACGCCGGUGGAAACUGCAAAGCUAGAGUCCGGAAGAGGAGAGUGGAAUUCCUAGUGUAGAGGUGAAAUUCGUAGAUAUUAGGAAGAACACCAGUGGCGAAGGCGGCUCACUGGCCCGGUACUGACGCUGAGGCGCGAAAGCGUGGGGAGCGAACAGG
rnacentral:rRNA from 1 species